CGCACCUUGCGCUCCUUGGUAUUCCUUGGAGCAUGCCUGUUUGAGUAUCGUGAAAUCUUCAAAGUAAAUCUUUUGUUCACUCAAUUGGUUCUACUUUGGUAUUGGAGGUUCCAUUGCAGCUUCACAUCUGCUCCUCUUUGUGCAUUAGCUGGAUUCUCAGUGUUAUGCUUGGUUCCACUCAGUGUGAUAAGUUACUUAAUUCACUGAGGACACUCUAUAACCAAAGGGGUGGCCAGGGUAAAUGCAGAUGAACCCGCUUCUAAUAGUCCAUUGAUUUGGACAAAAUAAUAAUAAUAAUGAUCUGAUCUCAAAUCAGGUAGGGCUACCCGCUGAACUUAA
rnacentral:rRNA from 1 species